GACGAACGCUGGCGGCGUGCUUAACACAUGCAAGUCGAACGGUGAAGCGCCUUCCUUUUUGGUGGGUGUGGAUGAGUGGCGAACGGGUGAGUAACACGUUAGUAACCUGCCCCCUUCUUCUGGAUAACCGCAGGAAAGUGUGGCUAAUACUGGAUAUUCUGGGUCUGUCGCAUCAUGGGUCUGGGAAAGAUAUUGUUUCGGUUGGGGAUGUGCUCGCUGCCUAUCAGCUUGUUGGUGGGGUGAUGGCCUACCAAGGCGGUGACGGGUAGCCGGCCUGACAGGGUGGACGGCCCGACUGGGACUGAGAGCCGGACAAGACUGCUAAGGGAGGCAGCAGGGGGGAAUAUGGAACGAUGGGAGGACGCAUGAUGAAGCGACGCCGCGUGGAGGAUGGAGGCCUGAGGGUUGUGAGCUUCUUUCGCUAGUGAAGAAGGGCUGCCUAGUUUGUGGGUGGGUUGACGGUAGCUGGAUAAGAAGCGCCGGCUAACUACGUG
rnacentral:rRNA from 1 species